AGUGAACGCUGGCGGUAGGCCUAAUACAUGCAAGUCGAACGGCAGCACAGUAAGAUCUUGCUCUUACGGGUGGCGAGUGGCGGACGGGUGAGGCAUACAUCGCAAUCUUCUUUUUCGUGGGGGAUUACGUAGGAAAACUUACGCUAAUACCGCAUACGACCUACGGGUGAAAGCAGGGGAUCUUCGGACCUUGCGCGAUUGAAAGAGCCGAUGUCGGAUUAGCUAGUUGGCGGGGUAAAGGCCCACCAAGGCGACGAUCCGUAGCUGGUCUGAGAGGAUGAUCAGCCACACUGGAACUGAGACACGGUCCAGACUCCUACGGGAGGCAGCAGUGGGGAAUAUUCGACAAUGGGCGCAAGCCUGAUCCAGCCACACCGCGUGAGUGAAGAAGGUCUUCGGGUUGUAAAGCCCUUUUAUUGGGAAAGAAAAGCAGCAGGUUAAAACCCCGCUGUUCUGACGGUACCCAAAGAAUAAGCACCGGCUAACUUCGUG
rnacentral:rRNA from 1 species